ACGCACGCUGGCGGCAUGCCUAACACAUGCAAGUCGAACGAGACCUUCGGGUCUAGUGGCGCACGGGUGCGUAACGCGUGGGAACCUGCCCUUAGGUUCGGAAUAACUCCCCGAAAGGGGUGCUAAUACCGGAUAAUGUCUUCGGACCAAAGAUUUAUCGCCUUUGGAUGGGCCCCUUUGGAUUAGCUAGUUGGUAGGGUAAAAGCCUACCAAGGCGACGAUCCAUAGCUGGUCUGAGAGGAUGAUCAGCCACACUGGGACUGAGACACGGCCCAGACUCCUACGGGAGGCAGCAGUGGGGAAUAUUGGACAAUGGGCGAAAGCCUGAUCCAGCAAUGCCGCGUGAGUGAUGAAGGCCUUAGGGUUGUAAAGCUCUUUUACCCGGGAUGAUAAUGACAGUACCGGGAGAAUAAGCUCCGGCUAACUCCGUG
rnacentral:rRNA from 1 species